rnacentral:rRNA from 1 species
CAUGCCGUAAACGAUGGAUACUAGGUGUGAGGGGUACUGACCCCCCUCGUGCCGCAGUUAACACAAUAAGUAUCCCACCUGGGGAGUACGGCCGCAAGGCUAAAACUCAAAGGAAUUGACGGGGGCCCGCACAAGCAGUGGAGUAUGUGGUUUAAUUCGAAGCAACGCGAAGAACCUUACCAGGUCUUGACAUCCAACUAACGAAGUAGAGAUACAUUAGGUACCCUUCGGGGGAAGUUGAGACAGGUGG